rnacentral:rRNA from 1 species
AUUGAACGCUGGCGGCAUGCUUUACACAUGCAAGUCGAACGGCAGCGCGGGCUUCGGCCUGGCGGCGAGUGGCGAACGGGUGAGUAAUGCAUCGGAACGUGCCCAGUAGUGGGGGAUAGCCCGGCGAAAGCCGGAUUAAUGCCGCAUACGACCUGAGGGUGAAAGCGGGGGACCGAAAGGCCUCGCGCUAUUGGAGCGGCCGAUGUCGGAUUAGCUAGUUGGUGGGGUAAAGGCUUACCAAGGCGACGAUCCGUAGCUGGUCUGAGAGGACGACCAGCCACACUGGGACUGAGACACGGCCCAGACUCCUACGGGAGGCAGCAGUGGGGAAUUUUGGACAAAGGGGGCAACCCUGAUCCAGCCAUGCCGCGUGCGGGAAGAAGGCCUUCGGGUUGUAAACCGCUUUUGUUCGGGAAGAAAUCCUCUGGGCUAAUACCCCGGGGGGAUGACGGUACCGGAAGAAUAAGCACCGGCUAACUACGUG